rnacentral:rRNA from 1 species
AUGAGCCGCCCCUCGCCGGCGCCCGCGCUGGACGGCGGGGUCCUCCUCGAAGAGAUCCUCCUCCGCCUCCCUCCGCAGCCCUCCUCCCUCCCGCGCGCAUCCCUCGUGUGCACGCGCUGGCGCCGCAUCCUCUCCGACCCCGGCUUCCGCCGCCGCUUCCGCGAGCACCACGGCCGGAACAACCCACCGCCACUGCUCGGCUUCUUCGAAAAGGAAUUCCGCGUAGACAAGCCGCCCAUCUUCAACACCACGGCGACGGGCGAGCGGGACCGCAUCCCACCCGCGCGCUUCUCCGCGCCAUGGAGCCUGGGCGAGGGCUGGGAGUUUCUCGGCUGCCGCCACGGCCUCGCCCUCCUCAUCUGCCGGGCGCGCCGCGAGGCAAUCGUGUGGGAUCCCCUCACGGGCCACCGUCGCCGCGUCGCGUUUCCACCGGGGUGGAAGUCCGUCCAGAACGCCGCGGUGAUGUGCGCCGCCGCCGGCCAAGAUGGGCAUGUGCACGGUGACUGCCGGUUCUCCCCAUUUAGAUUGGCCUUGGUGCGCGGGGGUUCUAACGGCACACGCCAUUUUGCAUGCCUCUACGAGUCAGAAUCAGGUGUGUGGGGGGAUAUUGCUUCAGUAGAGACUGAACAUUCGACUUCGACUUGCAUUGCGAACCCCAGCGUCCUGCUUAGGAAUUCAUUUUGCUGGCUUCUGUCUGGAGGUGCCAUCCUGGAGUUUGAUUUUCAAAACCAGAGCCUUGCGGUUAUCCAGAAGCCGGCGGACGCUCAUGCUGCCGACUACUACUGGUCCUUUUACGUGGUACAGACAGAGCAUAGUAGCCUGGGCCUUGCUGUUUUGUCAGAGACAGAUUUUGUAAGCAGCAUCAUCCAAUUAUGGGAGAGGAAAUCUAACUGCGAUGGUGUUGUUGGAUGGGAGCUGCAGAAAACCAUUCAACUAGACGGGCUCUUUUCACCAGGACCGACCAUGGGGCAAAAUGCGGUGAUGAUGCAAGGGUACAAUGAGGACACCGAUGCGAUUUUCUUAUCUACCUUUUUCGGCAACUACAUGCUCCAGCUUGAGACCACACAGUUCACAAAUCUUCCUAAAACACGAAGAAAUUGCAUGUCUAGCAGGACCUUUUAUCCCUACAGAAAUUUCUACAUUACAUGUAGCAGAGUUGGUGGUCAAGAUGGUGGAGCUGAAAUGUCAAUUAAUUAG